GUCUUUUUGAGUUAUUUUUAAAGUCUGACCUGCCCACUGAAUAUUUUUAAAUGGCCGCAGUAUUCUAACUGUGCAAAGGUAGCAUAAUCAUUAGUCUUUUAAUUGAAGGCUGGUAUGAACGGUUGGACGAAGUAUAAGCUGUUUCAUAUAAAAUUAUAUUAGAAUUUUAUAUUUUAGUUAAAAAGCUAAAAUAUAAUUAAAAGACGAGAAGACCCUAUAAAUCUUUAUAUUUAAUAUUAUUCAAAUUUUUUUGGUUAAUUUUAUUUUUAUUAUAUUAAAUAUUUUGUUGGGGUGAUAUUAAAAUUUAAUAAACUUUUAAUUUUGAAUUAAAACAUUAAUUUAUGAAUAGUUGAUCCAUUAUUAAUGAUUAUAAGAUUAAGUUACUUUAGGGAUAACAGCGUAAUUUUUUUUGAGAGUUCAUAUCGACAAAAAAGUUUGCGACCUCGAUGUUGGAUUAAGAUAUAUAUUUAGGUGUAGCCGUUUAAAUAUUGAGUCUGUUCGACUUUUAAAAUUCUUACAU
rnacentral:rRNA from 1 species